UACGAAGGGGGCUAGCGUUGCUCGGAAUCACUGGGCGUAAAGCGCACGUAGGCGGAUUGUUAAGUCAGGGGUGAAAUCCCGGGGCUCAACCCCGGAACUGCCUUUGAUACUGCUGGUCUGGAGGUCGAGAGAGGCGAGUGGAAUUCCGAGUGUAGAGGUGAAAUUCGUAGAUAUUCGGAGGAACACCAGUGGCGAAGGCGGCUCGCUGGCUCGAUACUGACGCUGAGGUGCGAAAGCGUGGGGAGCAAACAGG
rnacentral:rRNA from 1 species